GUCUUAAAGAAUUUAAUUUUAAGUCAAAUCUGCUCAAUGAAUUAUUAUUUAAAUAGCUGCAGUAUCAAUAACUGUACAAAGGUAGCAUAAUAAUUUGUUUUUUAAUUUAAAACUAGAAUGAAUGAUUUUAUGAAAUAUAAACUGUCUCAAAUUAAUUAAAUAAAAUUAUUUUUUAAGUUAAAAAACUUAAAUUUUUUUUAAAGACGAAAAGACCCUAAGAAUUUUUAUAUUUAAUUUUUAUAUUUUUAUUUUAAUUAAAUAAAAAUUAAAUAAUUUAAUUGGGGAAAUUUUAAAAUUUAAUUAAUUUUUAAUUAAUAAAACAAUUAUUUUUGUAUAAUUAUAAGUUUUUAAAAAAAUAAAAUUAAAUUACCUUAGGGAUAACAGCAUAAUUUUUUUUUAAAGUUCAAAUUAAUAUUAAAGUUUAU
rnacentral:rRNA from 1 species